rnacentral:pre_miRNA from 1 species
GAUGGUGAUCUAGUCCUUUCGUUUCGAGGUUGGUAUACUGUGAGUAUUUAUUUAUUUAUUUAUUUAUUUAUUUAUCACACACAGUAACUAUCUUCGAAAGUGAAGUGAGGGUGCACAUC